GGGUGCGAUCAUACCAGUGCUAAUGAGCUGGAUCCCAUCAGAACUCUGUAGUUAAGCGGGCUUGGGCUAGAUUAGUAUUGGGAUGGGUGACCUCCCGUGAAGUCCUAGUGUUUCACCCU
rnacentral:rRNA from 1 species